UAAUGGCAUGAAUGCAGGAGUGAGCUAGUCAUCACGGGAGUGGGCUCCUGAUAAAAGGAUGAGUUUAAGCUGAUUUCCUCUCUGCCUCACAUGCUCAUGUGCCCUCCUACUACUGAAUGACCUUUGCCAGAUGCCAGCGCUGUGCUCUUGGACUUUUCAGCCUCCAGAACAAGACAGGAUUUUGCCAUGUUGCCCAGGCUUGAACUCCUGGGCUCAAGUGAUCUGCCCACCUCAGCCUCCCAAGGUGCUGGGAUUACAGGGUAAGCCACAGCACAGGAUUUUGCAGAUACAAGUAUUUCAAAGUGAUCAUUAUAUGAAAUGCCAUAUAUGUUCCUGAAUUAACAAAACAACUUGGUAGAAAGAAUCAAAAAUUGCAGAAGAAGAAAAUGUUGGGAAAAAGAAGAAAUGAAGCAAAUGUGCAGAAGGCUGUUAUUUGUUGAAGCUGCGGGCUUGGGGGGAUUUGUUUUACUCUUCUCCUUACUUUGUGAAUGUUUCAAAAACUUUUCAAAAUAAAAAGUUUAAAAAGCUAAACUAAA
rnacentral:lncRNA from 10 species